CCUACGGGCGGCAGCAGUGGGGGAUCUUGGACAAUGGGGGGAACCCUGAUCCAGCGACGCCGCGUGAGUGAAGAAGUAUCUCGGUAUGUAAAGCUCUAUCAGCAGGGAAGAAGGAAUGACGGUACCUGAGUAAGAAGCCCCGGCUAACUACGUGCCAGCAGCCGCGGUAAUACGUAGGGGGCAAGCGUUAUCCGGAUUUAUUGGGUUUAAAGGGUGCGCAGGCGGAUUUUUAAGUCAGCGGUCAAAUCGUGGGGCUCAACCCCAUCCAGCCGUUGAAACUGGGGAUCUAGAGUGUGCGAGAGGUAUGCGGAAUGCGUGGUGUAGCGGUGAAAUGCAUAGAUAUCACGCAGAACCCCGAUGGCGAAAGCAGCAUACCGGUGCACAACUGACGCUCAGGCACGAAAGCGUGGGUAUCGAACAGGAUUAGAUACCCGUGUAGUC
rnacentral:rRNA from 1 species